UACGGAGGGUCCAAGCGUUAUCCGGAAUCAUUGGGUUUAAAGGGUCCGUAGGCGGUUUUGUAAGUCAGUGGUGAAAGCCCAUCGCUCAACGGUGGAACGGCCAUUGAUACUGCAAGACUUGAAUUAUUGGGAAGUAACUAGAAUAUGUAGUGUAGCGGUGAAAUGCUUAGAGAUUACAUGGAAUACCAAUUGCGAAGGCGGGUUACUACCAAUAUAUUGACGCUGAUGGACGAAAGCGUGGGGAGCGAACAGG
rnacentral:rRNA from 1 species